AAAGUGGCCUAUGCCACUGCCAUGGACUGGUUCAUUGCUGUGUGCUACGCAUUC
rnacentral:ncRNA from 1 species